UUUAUGAUUUAUGACACACUUUAAAAGAAAAAAAGCGCACGAGGGUAUUCUCGUGUGCGAGUGAGUGCGAGCGUGUAUUUGUGCGUGGUUAUGUGUGUGUGUAUGCGCGCGCGCGUUACAUGCAAUGAAAGAAUGGUGAGUUUUCUAAAAUUGUUUGAAGCAUAUUAUGUGAUCUUUUUGGACAAAAUACAUCAUAAAAAUCUUCAUGCGUGUUUGGAUCAUGUGCAUAUUUCUAAGCUGGCAUGUCAAGGCUAUUCUCUUUUAUUCGUUUUCAAUCAGCUGAAUCUAAUAAACAAUUGAAUCAAAACAUACUCUUUUUUUAAGAGAAUAUAUAUAUCAUAUUUAUUUAUCUCUAUUUCAUUAAUGGAAUUUACAUUUUUUUUAAACGAUCAUGUUUCUUUUAAAAUUAUUGAAUCGCAUAAUAAAAAAAAAUGAAAUUACAAGAUUUCAUAAUAUUUAAUUGGUUUACAAUGUUAAGUUCCCAUUUCGUUGUUUUGUUCUGUUAUUCCAUUGACUGAAUGUGAUUUAUUAUACAAAUAAACUAUUAAUAGUU
rnacentral:misc_RNA from 1 species